UGACGACGAAGACGACGGGGCGACGGAGAAGGAGGGAGGCAGGGCCCGCUGCGAGAGGCGGGCGCGGCCGGCGAGGCCCGGUGUCCCUGCGGUGACGUCGCCUGGCGAGCCCCUGCGGGCGCGGCGGCAGUUGACAGAAUGACAGGAAUGGAGACUGAAACUGCAAGAGAUGAAGCCAUGGAGGAAGAAAGCACUGAACAGAAAAAGGAGAGAGAGAAAAAGAAGAGGUCAAGGGUUAAACAGGUGCUCGCAGAUAUAGCGAAACAAGUGGAUUUCUGGUUUGGUGAUGUUAAUCUCCACAAAGAUAGAUUUCUCCGAGAACAAAUAGAAAAGUCCAGAGAUGGGUAUGUUGACAUAUCACUUCUUGUUUCUUUCAACAAAAUGAAAAAGUUGACUACUGAUGGAAAAUUGAUAGCUCGAGCAGUUAAAAGUUCAUCUGUUGUAGAGUUGGAUUUAGAAGGAACUAGAAUCAGAAGACGCCAACCGCUGGGUGAGGAACCAAAGGAUGUGGAUAGUCGUACGGUCUAUGUGGAGCUGCUUCCCAAAAAUGUCAAUCACAGUUGGAUUGAGCGGGUGUUUGGGAAGUGUGGUAAUGUAGUUUACAUCAGUAUACCCCGGUAUAAAACUACUGGUGAUCCAAAGGGAUUUGCUUUUGUUGAAUUUGAAACUAAAGAGCAAGCAGAGAAAGCUAUUGAGUUUUUGAAUAAUCCUCCAGAAGAAGCGCCACGGAAACCUGGGAUUUUCCCCAAAACAGUAAAGAAUAAGCCUGUUCCUGCGCUGAAUACAAGUAACAGCAGUGUAGUAGAAGAGAAGAAAAAGAAGAAAAAAAAGAAAUCCAAAAUCAAGAAAGAGAGCAAUGUACAGGCAGCUGUAGAGACAAAGGAACCAAACACGAACACUACAACAGAGCAAGUACCCAAGCCAAAAAGACAUAGGACUUCAUCGGAGUGUUCAGAAAUGGAGGGAACUGAGACUCACAGGCAGCCCUCAAAGAGAGAGAAAAGAAAAUGGGACAGAACAGAAAGCUCAGAGGUACCUUGGGAAAGCAGGCCAGGGAAGAGAAAAAGAACCAGCUCUGGAGAUGGUGAGGCAUCGACUCCAAAAGUAAAGAAAAGCGUUCAAAAGGAUGAAGUUCAUCCUGUAAAAGAGGAAACAACAGAAGCUCCAAAGGAUUCCAAUGACGUUUCUGCAGAAGAUGACAAAGAUAAAAAAGACACAUCCCUUUCAAAAUCUAAAAGGAAACACAAGAAAAAACACAAAGAAAGACAUAAAAUGGGUGAAGAAGUCAUUCCACUCAGAGUACUCUCCAAGACCGAAUGGAUGGAUUUGAAGCAGGAAUAUUUGGCCCUUCAAAAAGCCAGUAUGGCCUCCUUAAAGAAAACAAUGUCUCAAAUCAAACCUGAGCCCGUGGGAGAGAUGGAAACCGAAUCUUGUGCACAGAAAAAGCCUCAAUCUGAAAAUGACAAAUCCACCAGUGAAGAUUCUGCCCCUCCUGCCAAGGCUAACACAAUGGGGCCCCAGUUCGUGACUGGAGUAAUUGUGAAGAUCAUUAGCACUGAGCCCCUGCCGGGCAGGAAGCAGAUCAAGGAUGCUUUGGCAGUGCUGGCUGAUGUUGCUUAUGUUGACAUGCUGCAGGGAGACACAGAAUGUCAUGUCCGUUUUAAAACUCCUGAGGAUGCACAGAUUGUUGUGAAAUCAUACAAAGAAAUACAGAUGAAAAACAACUGGAAAUUCGAAGUUCUCACUGGUGAUCAUGAACAACGUUACUGGCAGAAGAUUUUAGUGGACAGACAAGCUAAACUUAACCAGCCUCGAGAAAAGAAGCGGGGGUACUGAGAAGUUGAUUGCUAAAGCUGAAAGAAUGAGACUUGAAAAGACUCAACAAACAAGUAAACAUAUUCGCUUCACUGAAGAUAACUAACCAAGACUGAAUGUGAUCUUGAAAGUGAACUAGGUGUUUAACAAAAAAACAAACCCCACAAACGCCACUGCUUACAGCAACUAAACUGUUUUUAAGGCGGCAUCAAAACCUGGUCUGUUUGAUUCAUAAUUCUGCAGACUGCAAGUAUGAAGAUUGUUCUGAAUCCCAUUUCUAAAUAGGCUGAAUGUUUACUGCUUCUGAGCCUUUAGAAGAAUCUUCGGGGGAAGAAAUAAGAAAACCUUUGUUUGUUACAUCUGUACACAUGACAGUUAAUAUCUGCUGCUGUUAUCCCUCCCUAUCAACAUACGCUAAGAAGAGGAGUCCAUCUGUCGAGUUUUACCAUCCCAAGAGUUGCAUCCCUAAAGGGUUGGUCUUCAAGAUGGCGGCGAGGGUCUCAGCCUGGCAGCUCCGGUCCGUGCCCUGAUCCUACUCACUGCCCUGCCCAUGGCUGCCCAGCCAGGCACCCAAUGUCUGCGUUUACACCAGAACUGCUAUUAUGCCAAAAAUCACAACUGUGGAAAAAACACAGUGAGUGUCUUGAAAACUUUAAGCAAGAGGGAAGUAAUUUCCCUUUUCCUUUUGAUUGACAUAAUCUUUUUCCUUUCCUGUCCUUCUUUUACACCUGUUCCUUCUCUCUUUGUCAUUGGUUUCCUGGAUGCCAGGAUUAAAGGUAAGCCCCUUUAACACUCUCAUCAUCUCCUUACCACAAGCAUACCUGAAACCCUACUGCUCUCUGCCAGGUCUGUUGCCACGCUCUUACACUGAUGGAAGAACCAGAAUAAUAUAAUUUGAAUCGGGGGCACAAUAUUUAAAGUUAUUUGGGUGUUGAAACAAGCAGCUGAGCAGCCUAAUUGGGUUUAGACUAUAUAUAUAAUUCUAUAGCCAUAUAUAUCUCUCUCUAUGCAACUAUAUAUAGAUGUAGCUGCAGUGGCAGAACAGGUCAUCCGCAGCUUCCAGCAGGGAGAGAGACACAGAGUUGUUCUGCAGUUUUUAAGCCUGAGUUUGGUACCAUCCCCUGUUUCAGAUGCCCCGAUUAUGACUCCUGUGCUGUAUUUCAUAUCCCAUUUGUUGUCUAAGUGUUUUACCGGUGCUGGGGACAUGUUGUUUGUGGCUGGGUUGGACUCUUUCUUUUAGGGAAACCUGACAAUGUGGGCCACUCUUUUUAACUCAUACAUUCUUCCUUUGUUGGCCAGGUACUCCAUGUUUAUUUUGUCUUAAAUUGCGUAUGCUCGUCUCUUUCAUGUGUGAAAGCAACAAUUUUAAGGAAUGUUCGAACAUGUUAAAGCAACUGACAGCUGGUAGGCAUUGGACGGUGUGUGGAGAAGAGAGUCCUUCCUUAGGGCGCUUCCUGAGGAGUUUGUAUCGGAAAGGAACGGCUGGAGCUUUCACAAUGGGGAGGUAUGGCUGUGUUGGCUAAUGCUGAGUGCGGUCACAUUAUAUAUGGAGAUGAUAACUUGGCCUUUGGGUGUGAGGUGGCAAUGUGUGUGGGGAAAUGGAGGUAUUCCUGCUGAAGCUGGUGGUAGGUGAGGCUGAGAGAAGGGUAGUGUUUUCUGCAAUGUUAGGCUGGCAUCCUGCACUGGGAAAAGACAGCUUGCCCACCCAGGAAAAUGUUAUUUCUCUCCACUAGCUCAAUGUGAUGGCUGCUGGAUGGCAGACAAUGCGUCCUGCUGCAUGAGCAGAUGUUAAUCAAACUGUUUCAUGCUGGUGGUCCUUUUAUCGGCAGUUGCCACCUUUCCAAAUUGUGGUGGGUGUCUCAUCCACUGCUUUGCCUCUUUGGAAAAGGCAUGCAACAGGCUUGGAAAGAAGUGCACUGCUGUCACGCUGCCUGUGGCUGAAUGGGGUUGCAGUCAAACAAGCCCUAUCAAAAAUUAAACUGAGAAGCAGAGAGUUUACAGUGGAAGGUUGGAGUACCUGGCUUGAAACAUCUUCUGAAUAUGGUGGCUUUUGCUAUCUCAGUGCAAGAGGUAGGAAAGCAAAUGCUUCUGUUGUGUACAGGUGGAGACUCAAAUGCCGCAGGCAGCAGCAGCACAUACGGGUUGUACCUGGCAGUGGCAGAAGCAGGAAGGAUGAGGGAAUCGGAGCUGCUGACUGGCUGCAGAUGGGAGGGUGGAAUCUCUUCAGGGAUGCUACCAGGAGGUCCCAAUCCAGAUCAGCUCUGCAAAAGAGGUGUGAACAUCGUUAAGGAGAGAGAGGUGACCUGGGAUUCGCAGCUGCGAGGUGCUGAGCGCUCGGAGCUGCUGCCGGCCCCUCGCACCGGCCAGGACAGACCCUUCUGCAGGGGCCUGCACACACGGCUGCAGGUCACGGAGAAGCUGAAUAAUGUUCUUGGCCUCAGCAAGCUGACUCGGCUGUGUGACUGCAGUAUCUCUUGGAAAUGUCUUGUGUCUGCUGUGGAAAAGGCAAGGAGUAAUUUUGUCAGAAAGCAAGGACAUUAUUUUUCAGUGACAUUGCUGUGCUGUCGAUGCUCACAGAAUAGCUUGCUGGGAUCUCUUGGACUGAAUGGAAAUGUCAAAUGUGUUGCUAUGGCCAAAUACAAACAGAUAUUUCCAAAGUAA